GGUUCAGUGGUUCAGUGGUUAGCAUCUGCAAAGAGUGUGUUCUUACGACUCCUUUAUGCAGAAAGUGUUGGUUCGAAUCCAGCCUGAACCA